rnacentral:rRNA from 1 species
CGGGGUGAGUAAUGUCUGGGAAACUGCCUGAUGGAGGGGGGUGACUACUGGAAACGGUAGCUAAUACCGCAUAACGUCGCAAGACCAAAGAGGGGGACCUUCGGGCCUCUUGCCAUCGGAUGUGCCCAGAUGGGAUUAGCUAGUAGGUGGGGUAACGGCUCACCUAGGCGACGAUCCCUAGCUGGUCUGAGAGGAUGACCAGCCACACUGGAACUGAGACACGGUCCAG